CUCGCCGUAGCACAAGGGAUAGUGCCUCCGCCUCCUAAGCGGAAGAUUCAGGUUCGAGUCCUGACGGUGAGGCCA
rnacentral:tRNA from 1 species